rnacentral:tRNA from 1 species
CGCGGGAUAGAGCAGUUGGUAGCUCGUCGGGCUCUUAACCCGGAGGUCAGAGGUUCAAGUCCUCUUCCCGCAACCA